CUUACCGUGUACGGGGCCCUGGGUUCGAUCCACAGCAGUGCAGGGGCGUGCUGUGGCUGGCACCAAGGGAACUGCAGGAGUGGUUGGACUGGGCUUUGUUUUCUCCUGUCCUACCUGCGGCCGCGGCGCCCGGGGCGGCGGGCAGAAGGCAGAGCAGCCAGAGCAGGCGGCCGAGGCGCUGCCACCCGGCCAUGGCGGCUGGCGAUCCCCGUGCGGGAGGUGCUAGGGGUGCGGGAGGUGCGGGCUCGCUCGUCAGCUCCUGGAGCAGCUGUGUCGCCGCUGGGGCCCAAGAGUCCCCUAAC